rnacentral:lncRNA from 1 species
CUCCCAGGGAAGCCCCCGGGGUCAGGUGGGUGCCGCUGUUCCCACUGAAGAUGCGGCCCCCAGUUCACUGCCCACUCGGGGGGGAUUUGAGGGUCAUUGGUUCUGAGGGCCCUCCGCCUGCUCUUUUGCUUCUAAAUCCAGCAUCUUCUGUAUGACCUUUGUCCCGCUCCUGCCACCCCACGAAGACAGACGUGAGGGUCAGGGGAGCCACGGUGCUAACUGCCACUCUGGGCGGGCACAGGCGAGGGCUGUGCAGCACCCGGGCACGUGGGGUCUUCGGAGGGGCUGCUCCCCACACCACUUCCCCUGCCCCUGCCGAGCCCUGCCGUGGGGUGGGGGGGCGCAGGGAGAGAAAGCAGCCGCCCUGGGUGAGAGCCAGGAGGGACACUGGGCAGGCAGAUGCCACCCCAGGUGUGGGGACCCCCGCUACUGAGUGGCCGGGAGGAGCCCACAGGCUCCCCACAUGCAGCUGAGCCCAGGGUUGUGGUCGUGGGUCGUGGGUCAAGGAUGGUGGCUGGUGUGGUUGGGGGAGAGGCUCAAGGCCCGCCUGCCAACCUUGUCACCUAUGUGGGGGUGAGGGGAGCCCGCCAGAGGCCAGAGCCCCCACUGUCCCUUCCCACCCUCCAGCCAGGCUCCAGGCCUCCUAGGGCCAGAGUAUCUGAGCUUUCUCUCGCUUGCCGGGCCUGUGGUUUGGGGGUUUGUGUGGAGCCUGGUCCAGGAGCCCUCCUUCCUGAUCUGCACUGGCUGGCCCUCCUGACAGCCCCAGGCCCCCGUGCCCUCUGCCAGGAGGUGCCUUGCCACUUGGCAUGGCCCCAGUCACGGGUGGCACAUCUGGGGUGAAUGCACGUCAGUGGAGGCAGAAUCAUUCUGUCUGAAUGAAUGGAGUUUCCAGGCCCCCACUGGCCCUCUGUGUGAGGGUCUGCAGGGUUUGGCAGGACAGGUCUUUCUCUCCGGCGAGAGCACCCACCCUGACCGGCUGCUGGAUGAGGGCACCAAAGCUCGCUAGGGAGGGCUCUGUCCUUAGGGAGGAGCUGCGGAAUCCCUGCAGCUGUGCCCCCAGGCCCUGCCUUGCACACUUCCUGCAGCCAGGGCGCCCCUGGGGAGGUCAGGGCAGGCCGGGGAGGCUGAGGCCCACCUGCCAUAGUGGGCAGGUGCGGGAGCCAGGGCGGCAGUGGCCUCGGGGCUGGGUGGGGCGCCUGGCCUCUGGUCUCUGGAGCAGUCAGGGGCUCUGCAGACGCUGAGAGGCCUGCUCAUAGUGGACUGGGAGAUGCUGGAGCAGCCUCAGAGCCAUGGCCGGCCCACAGCGGGAGACGGCCCUGCUGCUGCCCCUCUGCCUGUGCGUGUGCACCUGUGGGCACCUGCGUGUG